rnacentral:rRNA from 1 species
AGUGAACGCUGGCGGUAGGCCUAACACAUGCAAGUCGAACGGCAGCACAGUAAGAGCUUGCUCUUACGGGUGGCGAGUGGCGGACGGGUGAGGAAUACAUCGGAAUCUACUUUUUCGUGGGGGAUAACGUAGGGAAACUUACGCUAAUACCGCAUACGACCUACGGGUGAAAGCAGGGGAUCUUCGGACCUUGCGCGAUUGAAUGAGCCGAUGUCGGAUUAGCUAGUUGGCGGGGUAAAGGCCCACCAAGGCGACGAUCCGUAGCUGGUCUGAGAGGAUGAUCAGCCACACUGGAACUGAGACACGGUCAAGACGCCUACGGGAGGCAGCAGUGGGGAAUAUUGGACAAUGGGCGCAAGCCUGAUCCAGCCAUACCGCGUGGGUGAAGAAGGCCUUCGGGUUGUAAAGCCCUUUUGUUGGGAAAGAAAAGCAGCAGGUUAAUACCCCGCUGUUCUGACGGUACCCAAAGAAUAAGCACCGGCUAACUUCGUG